rnacentral:tRNA from 1 species
UCCCUUGUGGCUCAGCUGGUAAAGAAUCUGCCUGUAAUGCAGGAGACCUGGGUUCGAUUGCUGGCUUGGGAA